CCAACAGGGAUACCUGGAGAAGUUGCUUUCUCUCAGCUCUGUCCAUGUGAUGUCUGGGAGCAUAGAUCCUUGGGCUCUGUGAUGUAUAGUCCCCUUCCACACUGUUGGAGAGCAAGCUGAACCCCUGCGUUCUGCAACCUGCAUAUUCCUACUGCUUCUCUGAGCCUUUGGCUGUGACUGAGGAGAUAAACCAUGCAGGAGACAUUA